rnacentral:rRNA from 1 species
CCUACGGGAGGCAGCAGUAGGGAAUAUUGCUCAAUGGGGGAAACCCUGAAGCAGCAACGCCGCGUGGAGGAUGAAGGUUUUCGGAUUGUAAACCCCUUUUGUUAGAGAAGAUAAUGACGGUAUCUAACGAAUAAGCACCGGCUAACUCCAUGCCAGCAGCCGCGGUAAUCCGGGGGGCGCAAGCGUUACUCGGAAUAACUGGGGGUAAAGAGCGCGUAGGCGGGAUAGAAAGUCAGAUGUGAAAUCUUCUGGCUUAACCAUAGAACUGCAUUUGAAACUGGUAUUCUAGAGUAUGGGAGAGGUAGGUGGAAUGCUUGGUGUAGGGGUAAAAUCCGUAGAUAUCAAGAGGAAUACUCAUUGCGAAGGCGACCUGCUAGACCAUAACUGACGCUGAUGCGCGAAAGCGUGGGGAGCAAACAGGAUUAGAUACCCCUGUAGUC